rnacentral:lncRNA from 1 species
AGAAAGUGGUAAGACUGGGUAUAGAUCUAAGCUUAUCUUAACCUCUUUUGGCUUUUUAUUUAUAGAUGAAGAAACUGAAAUAUAUAGAGAGAGCUCAAGUGUUUAGAUCAUUAGCAAGGAGUAGGACCAGAACCUGAAUCCAGUUUCCAGGAAUCCGAAUCCAGCACUGAUUCUACUCCAUCACCAUGGUGUGCCAAAUUAUUGAGCAUCAUCAUGGGCUCUAGUGCCACAGAAAUUGAAGAAUUGGAAAACACCACUUUUAAGUAUCUUACAGGAGAACAGACUGAAAAAAUGUGGCAGCGCCUGAAAGGAAUAGCAACCAAGAGAAGUGAGUUCAGAAUCUCCAUAAACUUAAGGUAAGAAUUAGUUAAUCAUACACUUGAUGUUUAUCACUGGAAAAGAAAAGUAUUUAUGAAACAGAGCAAAAGAAAAGAGUGAAGAUAAAAAUAUAAAAUGAUUGUAAGAAACAGAGAGAAAGAAUCAAAGUGAAUCAUAUUAGAUGGACCCAACCCUACAAGUAAUUAAAGCACUAGUAAUUAAUUCUGUGGACUCUGGUGAAAAGCAGUCCCAGGUUCAAAUCUUUGCUUUGUCAGUCCCAGCUGUACAAUAUUAGCUAUCUCUAAAAUUAGAUACUAAUAUUGUCCCAUAUUGUCAUCUGGGGAAUUCAGUGUAAUAGGUUCUGUAGAAUCCUCGGUGGUGCCUGGUACGUAUGUGCUCUGUAAUAGCAACGGCUCUUUUAUUGGAUAUAGGGGCUAGGUAAUCUCACAGGUAACUCUGAGCUUUACAAGUCUAUGAAUGGAGCCUAUCUAGCCUUUUCAGUGAAGGUGAAACAUCUUAUGAAGUGAUUUAGAAAAAAAGUAGAGUUUUUUUUUUUUUUUUUGAGACGGAGUCUUGCUCUGUCGCCCAGGCUGGAGUGCUGUGGCGCAGUCUCGGCUCACUGCAAGCUCUGGUUCCUGGGUUCACACCAUUCUCCUGCCUCAGCCUCCCAAGAAACUGGGACUACAGGCGCCCGCCACCACGCCCAGCUAAUAUUUUGUAUUUUUUAGUAGAGACGGGGUUUCACCAUGUUAGCCAGGAUGGGCUCGAUCUCCUGACCUCGUGAUCUGCCCGCCUCGGCCUCCCAAAGUGCUAGGAUUACAGGCGUGAGCCACUGUGCCCGGUCUAAAGGUAGAGAAUU